rnacentral:snoRNA from 1 species
UUCUUAUGAUGAAAACUGUGUCCAGUUCUGCUACUGAAGGGAAACAGAUGAAAGCCUUAAGUGCUGAGGA